CAAUAGCGUAUAUUAAAGCUGUUGCGGUUAAAAAGCUCGUAGUUGGAUUUCUGUCAAGGACAACUGGUCCGCCCCUCGGGUGAGCACAUAGUUUGGUCUUGGCAUCUUGUUGGAAACUGUUGCUGCACUUGGUCGUGUGGCGCAGUGUCCAGCACUUUCACUUUGAGGAAAUUGGAGUGUUUCAAGCAGGCACAUGCCUUUGGACACAGUAGCAUGGAAUAAUUAGAUUGGGCUUUUGCUCCAACUUGUCGGUUUCUGGAGCUGAGGUGAGAAUUAAUGGGGAUUGUUGGGGGCAUCCGAAUUUAGCCGUCAGAGGUGAAAUUCUUGGAUCUGCUAAAGACGGACAACUGCGAAAGCGUUUGCCCAGGAUGUUUUCAUUGA
rnacentral:rRNA from 1 species